GUGUUAUAUGAAAGAAGAGAAGGUUAAAACUCCCCUUGACAAGGAUGGAAGAGGCACUCGGGCCUGAUAACACACAUACUGUUAAGGCAUUGCCACCUUCUUUGAGUGUAUAAGAUCCCUGAAGAAUAAUGAACUUUGAGCAUCUUUUAUUU
ensembl:snRNA